UACGUAGGUGGCAAGCGUUGUCCGGAUUUAUUGGGUUUAAAGGGUGCGUAGGUGGCCUGUUAAGUCAGGGGUGAAAGACGGUAGCUCAACUAUCGCAGUGCCCUUGAUACUGAUGGGCUUGAAUGAACUAGAGGUAGGCGGAAUGUGACAAGUAGCGGUGAAAUGCAUAGAUAUGUCACAGAACACCAAUUGCGAAGGCAGCUUACUAUGGUUUUAUUGACACUGAGGCACGAAAGCGUGGGGAUCAAACAGG
rnacentral:rRNA from 1 species